rnacentral:rRNA from 1 species
GAUGAACGCUGGCGGCGUGCCUAACACAUGCAAGUCGAACGAAGCACCGUGACGGAGACCCUCCGGGGAGGAAGACGCGGUGACUGAGUGGCGGACGGGUGAGUAACGCGUGGACAACCUGCCGUAUACAGGGGGACAACAGCCGGAAACGGCUGCUAAUACCGCAUAAGCGCACAGUGCCGCAUGGCACGGUGUGAAAAACCACGGUGGUAUACGAUGGGUCCGCGUCUGAUUAGCCAGUUGGCGGGGUAACGGCCCACCAAAGCGACGAUCAGUAGCCGGCCUGAGAGGGCGGACGGCCACAUUGGGACUGAGACACGGCCCAGACUCCUACGGGAGGCAGCAGUGGGGAAUAUUGCACAAUGGGGGGAACCCUGAUGCAGCGACGCCGCGUGAGUGACGAAGUAUCUCGGUACGUAAAGCUCUGUCAGCAGGGAAGAAGAAUGACGGUACCUGAAGAAGAAGCACCGGCUAAAUACGUGCCAGCCGCCGCCGUAAAAC